rnacentral:rRNA from 1 species
AUUGAACGCUGGCGGCACGCCUAACACAUGCAAGUCGAGCGGCAGCGCGACUAGUAGCAAUACUAGUUGGCGGCGAGCGGCGGACGGGUGAGUAACACGUAGGAACCUGCCCAGAAGUGGGGGAUAACUAAUGGAAACGUUAGCUAUACCGCAUAUAUUCGGGAGAAGAAAGCUGCAGCAAUGUAGCGCUUUUGGAGGGGCCUGCGUCCGAUUAGCUAGUUGGUGAGGUAAUGGCUCACCAAAGCGAUGAUCGGUAACUGGUCUGAGAGGACGACCAGUCACACUGGGACUGAGACACGGCCCAGACUCCUACGGGAGGCAGCAGUGGGGAAUCUUGGACAAUGGGGGCAACCCUGAUCCAGCGAUGCCGCGUGAGUGAAGAAGGCCCUCGGGUCGUAAAGCUCUUUAGGCUGGGAAGAAGUGUGUGAGAGGAAAUGCUUACACAUUGACGGUACCAGCAGAAUAAGCACCGGCAAACUCUGUGCCAGCCGCCGCGGUAA